AUGCUAAAUUAUUCAGAGCAAAUAGUGAUGGUGCUCGCUUGUCUAAUCGGAAACAAGUGUCUACAGUUCAAAGUUUUUUCAUUGCAAAACAGUUAUGUGCUGCUGUUGUGCUCUAUUUGUAGAGUAAGAAAGAUGAUCUGCUUUCAGCAGGCACAGUGGGGUGGUGGCUUGCAGCUUUUAUGGAGGAAAACCGUCAAUCAAAAAACAGCUGGUGGCUGCUGCGCUGGGACUCACUUAUGUGGGACACUUAGUGAGGGAGACGCUUCUAGAGACCUUGCUAAGAAAGCUUGCUCUGCCACGUAG
rnacentral:rRNA from 1 species